rnacentral:rRNA from 1 species
GUAGGUGGCAAGCGUUGUCCGGAAUUAUUGGGCGUAAAGCGCGCGCAGGCGGUCCUUUAAGUCUGAUGUGAAAGCCCACGGCUCAACCGUGGAGGGUCAUUGGAAACUGGGGGACUUGAGUACAGAAGAGGAAAGCGGAAUUCCAAGUGUAGCGGUGAAAUGCGUAGAGAUUUGGAGGAACACCAGUGGCGAAGGCGGCUUUCUGGUCUGUAACUGACGCUGAGGCGCGAAAGCGUGGGGAGCAAACGGGAUUAGAUACCCUGGUAGUCCACGCCGUAAACGAUGAGUGCUAAGUGUUAGGGGGUUUUCCCGCCCCCCUUAGUGCUGCAGCUAACGCAUUAAGCACUCCGCCUGGGGGAGUACGGCCGCAAGGCUG